GGACCAUUAGCUCAGUUGGUAGAGCACCUGACUCUUAAUCAGGGUGUCCUGGGUUCGAGUCCCCGAUGGUCCA
rnacentral:tRNA from 1 species